UUCCCAAUCCCUAACAGUCCUCCUGGCUACCUCCUUGUCAGGUGUCUGUCCUUGCCUGUAUCAGCCUGAGGAGGAGAAGUAUUUGCCACCAGCCAGAAGAGAGCAGCUCCAGAAGGAAGAGCUGAUAAAUUGUAAAAAGGACAAGGCUUUUGUAAAAUUGCCCAGCGCUCUUGUCAUGGUUGUGACUUCUGCAUCCCAUCUUUAAUCUCUCAAAGCUCAUCUUAAUCUUCUAAGAUUUUGAAGGCCAAAGAAGCAUUUUGAUCUAUUCUAGGAGCUAGAGGCUGGUGUGUGACAUUUUGACUAAAGGACCUAGUUACAUUGUGAAGAGAGGAAAGUACCCUUUAGGU